rnacentral:rRNA from 1 species
AGUGAACGCUGGCGGUAGGCCUAACACAUGCAAGUCGAACGGCAGCACAGUAAGAGCUUGCUCUUACGGGUGGCGAGUGGCGGACGGGUGAGGAAUACAUCGGAAUCUACUUUUUCGUGGGGGAUAACGUAGGGAAACUUACGCUAAUACCGCAUACGACCUACGGGUGAAAGCAGGGGAUCUUCGGACCUUGCGCGAUUGAAUGAGCCGAUGUCGGAUUAGCUAGUUGGCGGGGUAAAGGCCCACCAAGGCGACGAUCCGUAGCUGGUCUGAGAGGAUGAUCAGCCACACUGGAACUGAGACACGGUCCAGACUCCUACGGGAGGCAGCAGUGGGGAAUAUUGGACAAUGGGCGCAAGCCUGAUCCAGCCAUACCGCGUGGGUUAAGAAGGCCUUCGGGUUGUAAAGCCCUUUUGUUGGGAAAGAAAAGCAGCAGGUUAAUACGCCGCUGUUCUGACGGUACCCAAAGAAUAAGCACCGGCUAACUUCGUG